rnacentral:rRNA from 1 species
UUCCGUAGGCUGAACCUGCGGAGGGAUCAUURCRMGUGACCCCGGCUACGGCCGGGAUGUUCAUAACCCUUUGUUGUCCGACUCUGUUGCCUCCGGGGCGACCCUGCCUUCGGGCGGGGGCUCCGGGUGGACACUUCAAACUCUUGCGUAACUUUGCAGUCUGAGUAAACUUAAUUAAUAAAUUAAAACUUUUAACAACGGAUCUCUUGGUUCUGGCAUCGAUGAAGAACGCAGCGAAAUGCGAUAAGUAAUGUGAAUUGCAGAAUUCAGUGAAUCAUCGAAUCUUUGAACGCACAUUGCGCCCCCUGGUAUUCCGGGGGGCAUGCCUGUUCGAGCGUCAUUUCACCACUCAAGCCUCGCUUGGUAUUGGGCAACGCGGUCCGCCGCGUGCCUCAAAUCGUCCGGCUGGGUCUUCUGUCCCCUAAGCGUUGUGGAAACUAUUCGCUAAAGGGUGUUCGGGAGGCUACGCCGUAAAACAACCCCAUUUCUAAGGUUGACCUCGGAUCCAGGUAGGGAWACCCGCYGAACUUAAGCAUAUCAAUAAGCGGAGGAAAUC